rnacentral:rRNA from 1 species
AGAGUUUGAUCCUGGCUCAGAACGAACGCUGGCGGCGUGCCUAACACAUGCAAGUCGAACGGAAUGAGGGGGCUUGCUCCUUCAUUUAGUGGCGCACGGGUGAGUAACGCGUAGAUAAUCUGCCUGAUGAUCUGGGAUAACAUCUCGAAAGGGGUGCUAAUACCGGAUAAGCCCACGGGGUCUUUGGACUCUGCGGGAAAAGGGGGGGACCUCCGGGCCUUCUGUCAUCAGAUGAGUCUGCGUACCAUUAGCUAGUUGGUAGGGUAAUGGCCUACCAAGGCGACGAUGGUUAGCUGGUCUGAGAGGAUGAUCAGCCACACUGGAACUGAGACACGGUCCAGACUCCUACGGGAGGCAGCAGUGGGGAAUUUUGCGCAAUGGGCGAAAGCCUGACGCAGCAACGCCGCGUGAGUGAUGAAGGCUUUCGGGUCGUAGAGCUCUGUCAAGGGGAAAGAAGUGUAUUGUGGUUAAUACCCGCGAUACUUGACGGUACCCCUAAAGGAAGCACCGGCUAACUCCGUGCCAGCAGCCGCGGUAAUACGGAGGGUGCAAGCGUUGUUCGGAUUUAUUGGGCGUAAAGCGCGUGUAGGCGGUUUAUUAAGUCUGAUGUGAAAGCCCUGGGCUCAACCCAGGAAGUGCAUUGGAUACUGGUAGACUUGAAUACGGGAGAGGGCAGUGGAAUUCCUGGUGUAGGAGUGAAAUCCGUAGAUAUCAGGAGGAACACCGGUGGCGAAGGCGGCUGCCUGGACCGAUAUUGACGCUGAGACGCGAAAGCGUGGGUAGCAAACAGGAUUAGAUACCCUGGUAGUCCACGCCGUAAACGAUGAGUACUAGGUGUUGCGGGUAUUGACCCCUGCAGUGCCGCAGCUAACGCAUUAAGUACUCCGCCUGGGAAGUACGGUCGCAAGACUAAAACUCAAAGGAAUUGAUGG